UCCUCCACGCGUUCGAUUUAUUCUUGGUAACGCCAAUGAUUUUCGGCCAUUAGUCCGUCCGUUCCAACUGCAUCAUCUUCCUUCCUUAAUUUCUUCCUCAUUAAAUUCGUAUUAAUCUCUCUCUCUCUCUCUCUCUCUCUCUCUCUGAGAAAAAAGAGAAUAAAAAAGAAAUACCUACCAUCCAUCUUCUUCAAGAAAUCACCUCCAUGAUCAUACCAAUUCCGGUGCUUCAGAAAAACCGGCGCUGUUCAACCUGUUGACAAAACAUAUAUUGGAUGAAUAUCAGUCGAGUUUGGAUAGACAUGGGCGGUUAUAUGCUAUGAACAUCUCAAGAGCUGGAUCUAAAAGGUCCUGGAUCCUCCUGUAUGUCUCUGGACCAUCACCAAAAUCACCUCAACCCUAUUGAAUGAAUCGGGAACAUAUGACUCUCCAUGGAUUUAUGUAACUUUCUGAAAAUCUCUCAAGGUUGGUAUAGUACUUACGUUUGGUGAUCUUGAUAUCAUGUUAGAGUCAAGUCUCCAACGUUUGUGAAGGGGAUGUUUCAUCAUUAGGAGAAGAAUUGUAUUUGUUAAUUCAAAUCCAGAAAGCGAAUGAUGAGUGCUCUUCAAGAAAUGUCAAACUCCUUGACAGGUAUAUUCAAGUGGCAGAUCUACACCACCAGUGGCAUCAUAAGAAUUGUCAAUCUAGAGGGAACAGUUAAUUGUCAUUAUUAAUGACAGAAACAACAUAAAGAGCUUGGUGUUACGCCCAACAAAGUAAAAUUUAUAAUACAGGAGUGCAAGAGAAAAUUUGAGCAACCUUCUAAAGGCAAUGGAUCCCAUGCAAAGUUCCGACAACAAUGUGAGCAAAACAAAACCGGUGGGCAUCUAUUCCCAGCUUUUCAUAUGAUCUGUGAAGGCUACUCUGCCAAUGGAUAUCAUUUCUCCAUAAAAGCAGCUGGUCCUUAAGCUAUCAUUUGAUAAUGCUGUCAACUGACAACUUAGUUUAGACAUUGCAGGAAUCUUGAACAACGCUCUUUGGGUAUUUCUCAAGUUCGCUGAUGUUUAGUUUGCCUAGUUUCCAGGGAUACAUUUUACCCUGCUUGUGCACAGAAUCCUGCCUAGAAUUUUUGGUUCAUGAGCACAUAUUUUAGCUCCAAGUUUGCUCUAGGGUAUUAGUGGUAAUAGAGGUUAUGUGUCUCCCGAACUAUAUAACUGAGAUAAACUGCUGAUAGUGCAAUAGGAUUUUUACAGGUAAUUGUAAACAUGAAAUCUUUAACUGAGCAAAACUGGAUUAUACCAGCUGAUAGUGCAAUUUAGCAAUAGGAUUUUAUACAGGUAAUUGUAAACAUGGAUUUUUAUAUAAGUAAUUGGAAACAGAUUCAAAUAUUGUAAUCUCUAGAAUUACGUGACAUUCAUUUUGAUAUGAAGUAAUCAAGUAACAGGUCAUCUUGUUAACAGUUGCAGGCAUCAUCAUCAACAAGAAAAGGGGAAAAGCUAGCCAACAAGGUGGAUCUAACCACCAGUCAUCCUUACUACUAAACACAACCUGCAAACAUACACGAAGAGAUUUCUACCUUGCUGAUGAAGGGAUACUCUGCCAAGGAGAAAUAUUUGUUCUUUGAAGUGAUAAACAACGGCACCGUUCUGUUUCAAAUAUAAUUUGCUGGAGACCUUGGUGUGAUGUACAGGAUAUGUCUCAUUGGUGUGAAAACCGUGGCCUGUAAGCUGACAUCUAACUGCCUUGAGAAUAUAUGUCUAAUUUUUCAACUAAAUAAUUUUUCCAAUAAAAUUGUCUAAUUAUUCCGAUUAAAUUGUCCAAUUUCU